rnacentral:rRNA from 1 species
UACGGAGGGGGCUAGCGUUGUUCGGAAUUACUGGGCGUAAAGCGCACGUAGGCGGUCUUUUAAGUCGGUGGUGAAAUCCUGGAGCUCAACUCCAGAACUGCCUUCGAUACUGGAAGACUUGAGUCCGGGAGAGGUGAGUGGAACUGCGAGUGUAGAGGUGAAAUUCGUAGAUAUUCGCAAGAACACCAGUGGCGAAGGCGGCUCACUGGCCCGGUACUGACGCUGAGGUGCGAAAGCGUGGGGAGCAAACAGG